CCGCACGCGUCGGGAGAGAGCGCUGAUUGUUUUGUUGCAUCUGAAACAACAAUUGAGCGCCGCCGAAGGGGCACACCCACAAACUCUCAGGCAAAAGGACCGGCUGCGUCGAA
rnacentral:ncRNA from 2 species